rnacentral:rRNA from 1 species
GGAUGCGAUCAUACCAGCACUAAAGCACCGAAUCCCAUCAGAACUCCGAAGUUAAGCGUGCUUGGGCGAGAGAGUAGUACUAGGAUGGGUGACCUCCUGGGAAGUCCUCUUGUUGCAUUCC